rnacentral:rRNA from 1 species
UACGAAGGGGGCUAGCGUUGUUCGGAAUUACUGGGCGUAAAGGGCGCGCAGGCGGCCAUUCAAGUCAGGCGUGAAAGCCCCGGGCUCAACCUGGGAAUUGCGCUUGAGACUGGAUGGCUUGAGUUCGGGAGAGGAGAGUGGAAUUCCCAGUGUAGAGGUGAAAUUCGUAGAUAUUGGGAAGAACACCGGUGGCGAAGGCGGCUCUCUGGACCGAUACUGACGCUGAGGCGCGAAAGCGUGGGGAGCAAACAGG